rnacentral:rRNA from 1 species
GAUGAACGCUGGCGGCGUGCCUAAUACAUGCAAGUCGAGCGAACAGACGAGGAUCUUUCUCCUCUGACGUUAGCGGCGGACGGGUGAGUAACACGUGGAUAACCUACCUAUAAGACUGGGAUAACUUCGGGAAGCCGUAGCUAAUACCAGAUAAGAUAUUCAACCGCAUGGUGCAAGAGUGAAAUACGGUUUUGCUGUCACUUAGAGAUGUAUCCGCUCCGCAUUAGCUAGUUGGUAAGGUAACGCCUUACCAAGGCGACGAUGCGUAGACGACCUGAGAGGGUGAUAGGCCACCCUGGAACUGAGACAGGGUCCAGAGUCCUACGGGAGGCAGCAGUCGGGAAUCUUACGCAAUGGGCGAAAGCAUGACGGAGCAACGCCGAGUGAGUGAUGAAGGUCUUCGGAUCGUAAAACUCUGUUACUAGGGAAGAACAACUGUCUAAGUAAAUAUGCAGGUAUUGACGGUACCUAAUCAGAAAGCCACGGCUAACUACGUG